UGUAAUGUGAUUUUGUUCACAUUUUAUGCAAUUGAUCGCUGGGCAUUUGAAGACGAACAUGGAGGAAAAGUUGGAUAAUUAUCCUCCUAAACUGAGCAGCUAUAAUUAUAACACGUUGAAAAAAAAAUGGAGCUCAAAUUUGAAACUGCAAUUAGCAGUUGCAAUUGGUUUUAUUCCUUUCCCACAAAAACUAAAUGUCUUCACUCUCAGGAUGAUUGGUGAAUCCCCAGUGAUCGAUGCGUUUUCAAUAUAUGAGUUGGUGGUUUCGUUCUUUUGGGGAAAAUAUGGAAGAAGGAAGAGAAAUAGCGGAAGAAGAGGGAACAAAAAUAGUUUUGAGUCAUCCUAUUCUGUUUUAGAUUUGGGCCUCAAGAGCGGAGCAGAAGAGGACUUGAUCAUGUUUUUUUUCUUCAUUUAGAUGGUUGAUCUACUCUCUUAUUUGGCGCUCUGACUUUUUUAUCUGCUUCUAUUUCCUAGGUGUAUUUUUUUAUAGACAAUUGGUGGACGAUGGUUUGACGGGACGGCGUGCUCUGAGAGGCUACGUGAAGGGUAUAUUUCUAUUUUCUUUUUCUUCCAUGUUUUAUUUAUUUAUUGGUGAUCAAAUGAUACUUUGUUCUUCUUCCAUUUUGGAAGAAAAAUGUUAUAAUUGCUCUAUUCUGUAAUGGUUUUAAGGCUUUACAGAUGUCCUUAAUUGUUUAUGUCAUGUUUAGUUUAUCGUAAUACUGUAAUCUACGAUCAAACCUAUAUAUGUAGUAUGAACGCUAUAUCAUAGAAGGGAUUUUAUUUUCUUACUUUGUAUUCAGAGGAAACAAAGAAAAACCAUGGGAAGACAUCUACAGUCGGUCCAGGAACAAUGAUUAUAGAAUUUGGUUCAACUUCUUAUUUCCUGUAAUCAGUUCAACUUCUUAAUUCUUUAUAUUCAGUUGGAUUUCCUCUUCGUUGGGGUUGAUUAUAGAAUUUGGGAUUGUUCAUUUGGUGUUUCAAGUAUUCGUAAGAGUGUUUGCUUAGUUUUUAGGGUGAUAUCCUUAUUGCGUUGCUCUUUACUUGGACCAAAAUAAAGAAACACACUUGAAACCCUUGCUUUCUGUAAGUUUUUUUAGGAAAGGGGAAAAGUACGGGUAGCACUACUUCUCCUUUUAUUUGAAUAGGAGUGAGGAGACAAGAAUGCAUAUACACUGCAAAAAAAAAAAAGGUCUAAGAACACAAUUCAUUGGUGCCCUUUUAUCUCGAAUUGAUGAAGUAAAGAUGUUCUUUAUCUGCGUAUGCUUUGUCUAUUGUUGUUACUUCGUGUUUCGAUCAAUUUUUCUUUGCAUAAAUAAGAUGCCAUGCAAGCAAGUAAAGCUUUCUGGGUUUUACAUGUCUACUGAUUCUGAAGCUGGAGUGCCAAACCAUGAAAAUGGUCGUCAGAUUGAGGUUUAAGAGUUGCUUGACUAUUAAAUAUUUUACGUUGUUUAAAAUAUUGUUCAACGAAGAGUUGCUUGGCUAUGAAUUAGUGUAAGAUUCAGAGGAAUGUAGUUUAUCAUACUCAAGAGUGCAGGUACGCAUAAUUUUAUAUGUAAUUGAUUCUUCUUCGCUAAUAAUCUUCCCCUAUUUCCUUUUGUUCUGUAUAUAAUGGAUCGUCUUAAAUUUACAGGUUCAUGGCUCAUUCAGGCUGCAAAGGAUUUGAUUACUUUCUUUUUAGGAAUAUGAACUGAAACAACUUCAUAGUUCGGGUGUAAUUAUUUGUCUUAUCAAGUAAAUAACUGUAUCUUAUGAUCUGUUUGUUUUUUUCAUGCAUGGGAUUGUAUUUUUGAUUGGAAGGUUAUAAAAAUGAACACCUUUUACAGUGCUCCAAAAUACGAUAGA